rnacentral:rRNA from 1 species
UACGUAGGUGGCAAGCGUUGUCCGGAAUUAUUGGGCGUAAAGCGCGCGCAGGCGGCCUUUUAAGUCUGAUGUGAAAGCCCACGGCUCAACCGUGGAAGGUCAUUGGAAACUGAAAGGCUUGAGUACAGAAGAGGAAAGCGGAAUUCCACGUGUAGCGGUGAAAUGCGUAGAGGUGUGGAGGAACACCAGUGGCGAAGGCGGCUUUCUGGUCUGUAACUGACGCUGAGGCGCGAAAGCGUGGGGAGCAAACAGG